rnacentral:rRNA from 1 species
GAUGAACGCUGGCGGCGUGCCUAAUACAUGCAAGUCGAGCGAACAGACGAGGAGCUUGCUCCUCUGACGUUAGCGGCGGACGGGUGAGUAACACGUGGAUAACCUACCUAUAAGACUGGGAUAACUUCGGGAAACCGGAGCUAAUACCGGAUAAUAUAUUGAACCGCAUGGUUCAAUAGUGAAAGACGGUUUUGCUGUCACUUAUAGAUGGAUCCGCGCCGCAUUAGCUAGUUGGUAAGGUAACGGCUUACCAAGGCAACGAUGCGUAGCCGACCUGAGAGGGUGAUCGGCCACACUGUAACUGAGAAACGGUCCAGACUCCUACGGUAGGCAGCAGUAGGGAAUCUUCCGCAAUGGGCGAAAGCUUGACGGAGCAACGCCGCGUGAGUGAUGAAGGUCUUCUGAUCGUAAAACUCUGUUAUUAGGGAAGAACAAAUGUGUAAGUAACUAUGCACGUCUUGACGGUACCUAAUCAGAAAGCCACGGCUAACUACGUG